CCUACGGGAGGCAGCAGUGGGGAAUUUUGGACAAUGGGGGCAACCCUGAUCCAGCCAUGCCGCGUGUGUGAAGAAGGCCUUCGGGUUGUAAAGCACUUUUGUUCGGAACGAAACGGCUCAAACUAAUACUGUGGGCUAAUGACGGUACCUGAAGAAUAAGCACCGGCUAACUACGUGCCAGCAGCCGCGGUAAUACGUAGGGUGCUAGCGUUGUUCGGAAUUACUGGGCGUAAAGGGCGCGUAGGCGGUCUUGCAAGUCAGGGGUGAAAUCCCGGAGCUUAACUCCGGAAUUGCUUUUGAUACUGUGAGGCUAGAGUGAGUUAGAGGAUGGCGGAAUUCCUAGUGUAGUGGUGAAAUACGUAGAUAUUAGGAAGAACACCGGGGGCGAAGGCGGCCAUCUGGGACUCAACUGACGCUGAGGCGCGAAAGCGUGGGGAUCAAACAGGAUUAGAUACCCUGGUAGUCCACGCUGUAAACUAUGGAUACUCGCUGUAGCUGGUAAUCAUUCCGGCUGUGGCUUAGCUAACGCGAUAAGUAUCCCGCCUGGGAAGUACGGUCGCAAGAUUAAAACUCAAAGGAAUUGACGGA
rnacentral:rRNA from 1 species